rnacentral:lncRNA from 10 species
AAAAAACAUGAACUGCCAUUUGAUUUUCCACUCAAUUGCAUCUACCAACUGGCAGACAGACCAACUGAGAGAGUCCGUCCGUUCAGUAGCUGGAUUCGCCAUGGGUGUGCCCCAGGAGUGUUAGCAAGGCUAUUUCUCCGGAUCAGAAUAGUCCACAGACAGCAACUCUCUGAGGGAAGGCUCCACAACUGAACUAGUAAGACGUGCCUCUGCUUAAAAUAAUCAUAAGGAAUUUCUCCCUUCUCUUCUAUGGGUCUUAACCUUCUAAUUAGCCACCUCUUUAUCCUCUGAGAAUAUCUCAAGUCCAUGUCUGAUAAGCCACUUCUCAGCAGGGAGAGAACUGCAUCUUAAAAUGGAUUUGAUACUUCUUAGUAAACUGACAAAUCAGCCGAGGGGUGAGUCAAAUGAAAAUUUUAGGACUAUCGCCCUGCAAAAAAGGUGAUGAUUGCUAUAGGUUGGGAGAGUUAUAAUCUGUCAGAAUCUUCUGUUGCAAGGAACAGCUUAGCCACACAGCAGUGCUCCAUGGCGGCUGCCGUCAAGAAUCUAAACACGGCUUGGAAUUCUCUGAGGAUGUUAUUCAUAAAGGCACAGUUAAUCAAACUCAGACCUCUCUUCAGAAUCUCACUGUACAAGCCAAACUUAUUGCCAAUAGAAGGAAGGUGCCAGACCAGAGAAGGGAGAUCUCUACAUAUGAAAGGUGAAGUAACUUGAUUUCAGUUGUUUUGGAACUAACUUGGAGUGGUGAGAAACUACAGCAUUGUCGUGUUCUCACUAUCAGAGGGAAGAGAAAGUGGUAACUCUCAAGACACAGGACAAAAGAGGAACUAUAAAGAGCAUCUCAGAUAAGCAUUUCAGGAAGCAAAGCAUCAAUUUCAAAGUGUCUACAUAGAGACAAGAACCAAAUGUGGAGUGAAGAGUUCAGACAAUAUGGAGUAAACAGGCAGGAGAGAGAAAAUGGGAGGUUUAUCCAAUUAUCCACACAAGAGGAGGGAGCCCUUUAUAACUUGCCUGUGGCUGAACAUGUCAGUAUCAAGGAAGCCCAGCCAACCGAUGUCCUCAAAAGGCUCUCUCCUACCAAAAAAGAGACUUCUCUGGUUCACCUGGGAAAGUCAUGAAUAACUCCCUGAAGAGUUCCAAACUGUAGAUGAUAAAAGUCUUUGAUGAUUUCUCCAAAUUUUCCUCCUCCUCCUAGGCUACCUGUAGGAGCUGACCGUGGUGAUACUGGGUCCAGUGGCUUCUGUGAUAUUCUACAGUUCACUGUACCUCUAGGCAAUUUCUGGAGCACAGUGGGAAAUGUAAGGUCUCACUGCAUCAGAAAUAUGGAAUUUCAAAUUUUCAACUCCAUUAAUACUGUUAUAUAAGGCCUUGGCAAAAAAAUAGGGCAGAAAAGAUAAAUACGCUUUUUGAAAAGGGGAUAAAAAUUAUCACCAUUUGCAUUUGAUAUAACGGUAUACUCUGAAAUCCCAGGAAUAUUAACUGAAAAGGUGUUUUUAAAAACUAAAUAGUUUAUAAAACAAAAUAGAAAAUCUGGGGUAAGAGAAUGAAGAUUUAUACAACAAAAUCAAGCAAGACAGAAGAGAAAUGAAGUGAGAAAACAGUCAAGACUGUGCCAUAUCAUGAAAGCCAAAAAAAUCUUUGAAGGGAAGCCAUAAGUAGUAUUAGAGUCUAUAAAAAACAUCAUGAGAACAAUAACUAUGGGUGAUGCCACUUAUCUGAACCCAGGUGCCAUAAAACUCCUGGAUGUGAAAGACUUGCUAUCUUCUUGCCAAUCCUUCAAGACUUCAGGGCCCCCUCCAUUGAUGAUUUAAAUGUUAGAUAAAGGCAAACAGUCACGCUCCCCUUGUAAAAUCAGGAAACAAAUGUUCUACUUUUACAUAACAUCACUGAAAAAUUCUCUCAUUUUGCAGGGCAUAUAUACCAAUGAUGGAUAAGACAUUUGCCAAAGUCUAGAGAAUUAUGGCACUAAAGUGCUGAUUCUUCCAGUUGAGGAGAAAUAAUUUGACACCUCUGGAGCAGCAUACUUGUUCCACAAUCUAAGCCAUUCAAGCACAUUUCGAAACAUCUCAGUCAGCAAUAUGCACACUGAAUACCCCUCUCCACAUUGGAACAGUUCUUUCUCCUCUCUGAUGUGGCCUUGCAGAUAUGCUCUGUGGUAUCACUGUUAAGCUUUCCAUUUAUUUUUCCACAUUCACCUACAAAGAAAAAAUUACUCUCCUUGCUUGCCCGUCCAAAUUAUCUGAGAAUGCUUUUAACAGCUCUCAAAAUUGUAGAAAGAUGACUUCAUAAUACAGCCGCAAAAUAGACUGACCAUCUAGAGGAGAGAAGCAAUUUUCUAUUUUAGGCUUAUAAAGGAACAUCUUACUAAUUUAGGUUAUAAUAAAUGCCACCAUUUAUAAAUAUUUUUGUUUUGAGAUCCCCUGAAACAUUAUUUUAAAUAUAACAUUUCAGCAUGUUUGAUCAAGUUAUUUUGUGUGUCCACCUUCUCAACUGUAUGAUUUUAAUAUUCUCUUUCAAAGCAGACCUAUAGGAAUGCUACCAUGUCAAUUCAAUUUUGAACAACUCGUAAAAUAUGAGCCCACAUCUUGUGUCAAAAUAUCACUUUCAGAUAUUCUGAGCACUAAACAAAUCAAUUAAAUUAUGGUUAUAAUCACAAAAAAAUGCUGCCUAAGCCUAUAAUUUUAUUAGAUAACUCUAAGCAGAGAGUUAAAGUGACAUGUUCCUUUUCGGGGAUCCACAGUGAAAGAUACAUUAGUUGUAAAAUUGCGUUUUGAGAAAGGAUAGAUAUGAGGAAAAGCUUUCUGUAGUAACGAGAAAUUAUUUGUCAUCAACCAUUUUUAAUUAAAUUUUAUUUUUGUCUACAUGCACCAUGUUUAAAUAAGUAAAACAUCUACAUGACUCAAAAGUAAAGACUUUAUAUUUACAAAAGGUAUAUUCUGAGAAGUCAUCCCUUUGUCUACUCUCCCAUCCAGUUGUCACUCUAAAGAUAGUUAACUAUUUUCUUUAGCUGAUGGUUUACCAAUCCUUUAUUUCUUUCUUGUAAAAAUAGUCAUAUAAGUGUAUAAACAUAUACAUGAUGCUUUCUUAUACAAACUGUAGUGUACUCUAUCUAUCAUUUUGCCCCUUGAAUUUUUU